AAGUCGUAACAAGGUCUCCGUAGGUGAACCUGCGGAGGGAUCAUUACCGAGUGGAGGGGCGCAAGCCCCGACCUCCCACCCUUUGUUAAUCAAACCUCGUUGCUUCGGGGGUGACCUAUUCACUUAGGGCCCCCGGAGGACCAUCAACUCUGCAUCAAUGCGUCGGAGUCAAAAUUAAAUUAAAUCAAAA
rnacentral:misc_RNA from 1 species